GGGGGGGGGGGGGGAUAGAUAUUGUAGGUCCUCUUGUAAAAGUAAAAGACUAAAAAAACCAAAAAGAAUAAAGAUAAAGAUGAUUCUAAGCAUCGGGGACAAAAAGGAGUUCCCUCUAUCACUCUUCUUGAGUACACGGUCACUUGUGAGGUUGAGAUUUAUUUUUCUAUCCUUCAAAAUAUCAAAUCCAUUACAUACCUUAAAUAUAGGAUAAACCUAACUUAUCACAAUAAUUUUGACUAUGUUAUUGGUGAUCAUUGUCUUCUGAGUAAACGAGUUUUUCUCGGUGCUAGUAAAGGCCAACCCGACUUUACUUAUGUGUGUGAAGAUAUGUUCAAGGAUUUGGACAUAUCUUUACUUUUUAUUUAUUUUGAGUGUGAGGUUUUAACCAAGAUGAAUGUUACUCCUACUCUACUCCAUCCAAAUAGUUGGACCUUUACAAAGGCAUUUUUAACUCUUUGCUAUUAUUUUAAUAUCACUUCCAUUGUCAACAAAUUUUUGUACUUUUAUUGGGUUUAGGCAAGUCAGGGAAGGUUGGGUGGGUUUCCAUGACAGGUGCACAUGGGUCUUUGUUCACCUUGUUCAACUCCUCUAAGAAGAAAUUCAAGACUCGUUUUCAUAAGAUUAAAUUGAACCCAAUUUAUCCCGACCGCACAAGUCUUUUCAAUAAAUUUGAUGGAGAAACUAGGAGAUUUCCCUUUUAUUGGCAAGAAUUCUGUAAAGGUUUAAAUCUUAGGAAAGGCUAUUACUAUCUCCCAAGGAUAGGUGAGAUAUUAACAUAAUUAUGGAGUUUCCAAGGAGAAUGAAUAUCAAGGUAGUCCUUAACUUGCCUUAUAGUGGCGAUGUUGAAAAAGCUUUAGAGGGUAAGCUUUUAUUAAGUUUUGAAUAUUGGUGUAGAUUAGAGUUGUUACUAACUUAUUUUUUUUAAAAAAAUCUUUUUGCAAUGCACAGGAAUCAUGAAAGGUUUCAAUUUCAAGAUGAUUCAGGCUUCUGGAAUCUUAGAAUCCCAACAUACCACCAACACUUGUUGACCUAGUGAAGCCUAAGAAGAGGAAGACAAUUGCUAUUGAGGUCGAUCAACCAAGUGACAAAAUCAAACAACAGUCUAAAACUGCCAAGGUCGUAGUGAUGGAUAAGUGAUGUUCUCUAGAAAAAGAGAAAGGUAGAAAACAACAAGAGGUUUGCAAGAAGAAGACUUUGAAUGUGGAAGAGCCUACUACUAAAGGUAGGAAUGUUGAUGUGAUCCACCCACAAAACAAUGAGGAGCCGAUCACUAAUGUUGAUGUUAGUAACAAGCACAUGGAGAAGUCAACUACUACAACUCCACCUAAUCCAUAAGGUGAAAAAAAUGUUCCUCAAAAUACUUCGUCUGAAAAGCGAAGUGGAGGUAUGUGAUCCAACAUCAUCAAGGCCCUCUACAUAUGGUUGAUCAUGUAACUGUAACUCAUGAUCUUCCUUCGUUAUGGGAUGUCAACAUCAAGGGAUCUGAGUUCAUCAUCACUGAUAGACUACUUACAAAGAUUGACUCUGAGAUGAUGGACUUCAUUGGAGCCGACAACAACUUGGAUUCUAUAUAAGUCUUUCUUUACAGAUCUGUUGUUGCCAUCUAUCAUUGGAGGAACAAAUAUGUUGACAUGGAAACAAAGUUCAUGGCUAGUUUGGAGGAUAAGAGGAAAUUGGUCAAAGCCCUCAAUGAGAAAAACUCAUUUAUGAUUAGAAAGAUUGAGAUCAUUAAGGGUCUUCAAAAUAAAAUUAUUGACCAUGAGAAGAUGGUUUCCAUGAAGGUUGUAGAAAACGAAAAGCUUGUUAAGGAAAUUAAAAGUAUGAACAUGAAUUUCUAUUUUGCAGUUAAGGACUUAGCAGAAACCAAGAACAUUGUCAAGGCCUUAAAUGAUUAACUAACUGCUUAGGAAGAAAAGAAGAAAGCUUUGGAGUUAGAGAGAGAAUAAUAUGCUAAAAGAGAGAGAUUUGGUCGAUCAAUAGACUUCCAAACUACAAACACAACUUGUUGAUCAAAAGAAAGAAACAAAAAAGAUUAGUGUUGAGCAUGUGUUGCAGCUGCAACAAGCAUUCAUGAUAGGUCAUGAAGAUGGCUUCAAAAACGCUCUCCGCCAACUUGGUUUAUUCACCUCUAAUAUAAAUUUAGAGAAAUUCAAUGUAUUGAAAGAUGUAAAGGAUGAGGAGUUAGUGAGAGAGUCUCAAAUGGAAAGUUCUGAGGAGGCUUCUAAUAAUGAGAUGAUUUCUAAAGCAGAUGAUGUUGAGGCGACCUCAAACUUUGUUCUACCUUUAAAUCCUCUAAUGACUUAGUUUUUAUAAGAUAAUCAGGGCUUUCGGUUUUAUGUUGUAAUGAGAUGUUUUAUAUUUCAAAUUAUCUUGUACCAAGAUAUUAGAGUAUGAAAUAUAUUGUAUUAAGUUUAAUGUUUAAUGAGAUCAGUGUUUGACAAA